rnacentral:rRNA from 1 species
UGGGGAAUAUUGGACAAUGGGCGCAAGCCUGAUCCAGCCAUGCCGCGUGAGUGAUGAAGGCCCUAGGGUUGUAAAGCUCUUUCACCGGUGAAGAUAAUGACGGUAACCGGAGAAGAAGCUCCGGCUAACUUCGUGCCAGCAGCCGCGGUAAUACGAAGGGGGCUAGCGUUGUUCGGAUUUACUGGGCGUAAAGCGCACGUAGGCGGACUUUUAAGUCAGGGGUGAAAUCCCGGGGCUCAACCCCGGAACUGCCUUUGAUACUGGAAGUCUUGAGUAUGGUAGAGGUGAGUGGAAUUCCGAGUGUAGAGGUGAAAUUCGUAGAUAUUCGGAGGAACACCAGUGGCGAAGGCGGAUCACUGGACCAUUACUGACGCUGAGGUGCGAAAGCGUGGGGAGCAAACAGG